rnacentral:rRNA from 1 species
UACGUAGGGGGCAAGCGUUAUCCGGAAUUAUUGGGCGUAAAGAGUGCGUAGGUGGUCUUGUAAGCGUGGGGUGAAAGGCAGUGGCUUAACCAUUGUAAGCCUUGCGAACUGUAAGACUUGAGUGCAGGAGAGGAAAGCGGAAUUCCUAGUGUAGCGGUGAAAUGCGUAGAUAUUAGGAGGAACACCAGUGGCGAAGGCGGCUUUCUGGACUGUAACUGACACUGAGGCACGAAAGCGUGGGGAGCAAACAGGAUUAGAAACCCGGGUAGU